rnacentral:rRNA from 4 species
AAAUGACUCUCGGCAACGGAUAUCUCGGCUCUCGUAUCGAUGAAGAACGUAGCGAAAUGCGAUACUUGGUGUGAAUUGCAGAAUCCCGUGAACCAUCGAGUCUUUGAACGCAAGUUGCGCCUGAAGCCUUAUGGCUGAGGGCACGCCUGCCUGGGCGUCACACAU